CGCCCGCCCGGUCGGUCAGUCAGUCAGUCACGGAGCGCGCGGCGCGGGAGCUGCGGGCGCUCGCGGCGUCUCCAGGGAAGGAGCGCCGCGCCUGAGAAGGAGGAGGCGGCAGCGGCUGCCCAGCCCGGGGCCGAUCCGGAGCCGUGCCCGCCGGAGGACCGAGCCGUUGCCGCGGCACAACUGAAGUCGGUUCCUUUGGGGUAUACUCAUCCUGUGUAAGAAACUCCAGUACUUUGGCCACCUCAUGAGAAGAGUUGACUCAUUGGAAAAGACUCUAAUGCUCUGGAGGCAGGAGAAGAAGGGGAUGACGAAGGAUGAGAUGGCUGGAUGGCAUCACUGACUCGAUGGACGUGAGUCUGAGUGAACCCGGGAGUUGGUGAUGGACAGGGAGGCCUGGCGUGCUGCGAUUCAUGGGGUUGCAAAGAAUCGGACACGACUGAGCAACUGAACUGAUGUCCUGAUAUAUUACAGAUGUUUUAUAGCUUAUUGGAAGCUUGGGUUUUUCUUGUUUGCCUUGUAAGCAGUUUUUACAUAUGAUUACUACUCAUGUUGAAAGAAAAGUCUUAUUUAUAAUAUCUUUAUUAAUCAAUUUAAUUGAAGCAUAUCCAGACACUAGGAAGCAAACCAUUAAAAGCUACUAACAAAACAAAACCAAAGCUGCUACCUACUUUCAACUACUUACCUGAGUAAAAUGAAAACAAAAUUUGAUGAAAAUGAUUGCUUAGGUGUCAAGAGUAACUAACAUCUCUAACACUCAAUUUGUCUCUUUUGAGUUUGUAACAAAUUAUAAUGUAUUUGAACAUAAAAUGGUAUUAAUAGUGCUUCUGUAGCUGUAUAUAUUUGGCAUGCUGAAUAAGAUUUCUUCUGGAAAAAUUUCAUUGUGAAAUAUUAGAAAACCCCCAGAUUAUAUGAUGUCUAAUCUUCAUCCCAUGCUCUUAUCACUAUUCCUUUAAGAUACAUUAUUUACCACACUUUGGGGCAGGUAUCUUAAAAUACAUCACUCAUAACUUAAAAAUUGGCUUUUUAAAACUCAUUAUAUAUUCUGCUAUUCAUAAAACAUUUACUGGUAGCUCUGCUUUAGGCAGAGAUAUACAUAAUGGAGAAAACAAAGUGAUAGGUAUUCUCCCUUCCAAAAUAGAGAGAAUGUUAGUUUAAAUGCAGGAUACAAGGAUUCAG
ensembl:lncRNA